rnacentral:rRNA from 1 species
GCGUGGUGCGCUCCCCAUUUUUGGUGGCUUUUUUUGCGUUCCCGCGUGGCGUGGUGUGCUCGUUCGCUCGCCAGCGCGAUGACGCGAUCCCGGUGUCGUUAGCUCGUUCUCCUUUUUGUCGGGGCGCGGGGAGUGAGGAGGGAGGGAGCAGGCGGCGGUGAGGGAGGGUGGAGGAGGAGGAGGAGGAGGAUGCGAGAUCCUCGGGGCGGCGGCUGACGAUGAGGAGGUGGCGGAGCGGAGAAGGGGGAGGAACGGAAGGGUAGCGAGCAGAAGUCCGACGUCGCCACUAAGGGCUAGACUCGGCAGAAAAGAAAAGGGCAGGGUGAGCGGAGGGGGAGGAGCAGUGGGAGGAGAGAGAGAGAGGGGGCGCCGAUCCUAAGCCCGAUCCCAAGCCCGCGGAAGGGAAGAGAGGAGGAGAUGGGUUGCGGCGGAGGGGAGGAAAGAGAGGAAGAGGUGAUUGCUCCGGCCCGGUCCUCGUCGCUCCGGCCCCGCCGCCGCGCCUGUUCUUUGACACCCGAGAGGAGGCGUUUAGAGAUGGCCCUGCUGCCAUCGGCCUCCUCCUAGGGGCCAGUUGUCGCGGGGCCCGCGAGUGACGGUUCUUCGGCGGCCUCCUCCUUGAGCUGGACCUGCUGGCGGCGACCUGCUUCUCGGGGCUUUUUUUAGGGGGUUGGUGGGGACGCGGUGGCGGAGAAGUGGAAGCUGGUGCCCAACGUUGCCAGUCUCCUGGUUCAACCUCGUAUGAUCCAUUUACCCGGAACGGCACUCAGCACCACGUUGUCACUGGAGCUAACCGUCCCGUUACCAGUCUAUGCUCAGUCGUGGUUUCUACUGACAUUCGUGAGUUUUUUCAAAUGGUGCGAUCUCGAUACAGUCCACGGAUGACAAGAAAACACGAAAAACAAAAGAUAAAGGGCAGUCUUCGAGUAAGGUAUUAGUUAAACGUCCAACAUGCCCCCGUCAAUUACUUAUAUGAACACUGUGAAUAUGAGUCGUUACGGCUGUUUGUACCAAAUACUACUAUAACCACCAGACUUCGAAAUCUAGCAGCCCCGACGAGAGUAAGCAAGUUAAACGGUCACUAGGAAGGUAAGAUGACGACGAGUAAUAAUAGUAUACUUCCUCCGACUAGAUACAAGAGACAAACAACCCAGGAAGCACAGUAAUACUUGUUCCUUGUACAUAUUGGAAAGUUCAAGUGACUACACCAAUGGUGAUGUUGUGUGCAGGGAGAUUCCUGGUUCCCACCCGUACUAGAAGAUGUUCCAACAGACACUGAUAAUCAUGCCCUAGUUGAAACGCCACAGGGGUAGCGAAGUUCAGUUCGAUUAUCUCGAUUUACCCAUAGGUUAAAAUCUUUCGUGUGAAUUCUUUGUACGUGUGCACAGAAAUCUAGGAUACCUCGUAAGGAUUAUUACUGGUAGAUAAAUUGAUAGAACCUAGUAAUGGUAAUGUUUUACGUCGUACCGUAAGUAUUACAAGUCAAUAAGUAUUUACACCGUAAAUUAAUAAGAGAACCGUACUAUAAAUUCGUACAACGUAUAUGGUUAGACAACUAUUAAGUUAAUAACUAAGACUACAUGUUUGUACGUUUUGGUAACGGACAAACCUACUACGUGUACUCAUACAAAAACAAUCAAAAGCCACUACAUACAGCACUUCGCCCUGCCCGCCUGCCUCUGCCACGUGAAGCUGUUCUAGUGCCACACCAAGUUCUUCGAGUCGAUACCCGAGUCGGUCCUCGUGGCGCUGGGGCACGAGCCAGACGCAGUCCCAUAUGUACCCGCAGUGGUGGUCGGUCGAGCUGCUCGAGCGGCGGCUCUGGCGGCGGCGCGAGUGCCGGAGGGUCGGACUGAUACGGAGGGAGCGCCGUUCCUAACAACACGGGUUGGACGGCGGUUCACCUUUAUCAGACACACCGCGAACAUUUAUCUCUCGUAAGACCAUCUUUCGACUUUCUAAUCGUUCUGACCGAUUUAAGACUUGUACAAGGUACACUCUCUUUAUCGUACAACUAAAGUAGAACUUUAUUAGUAUCGACUCCCUGCUCGAAGCAUUGAUUCCCAGUACACAUCUCGACUUCCUUCUUCAACGCUCCGAACCUUGAGAGGAACACUUCCCGAGUCCUGUCGUCACUCCUGUUACGGAGAAAUCAACAUUAACACUAUGAGGACUAGACGUUCAUUUGUGAGGACACUAUGAUUUACAACCAACAAUCAUGUCUCCACCACUGUAAUCAACCAAGAGACCAUAACUAAAGUACUAAACACCAAUUAUGUACUACAUUAUGUUAGGUGUGACGUAAUAUAAAGGUCAAUGUAGAAAAUGAAUGAGUGAU